GAUCUCGGCGCAGAUUGAAGGAUGGGAAAGAGCGAGAGCAGUUGCAGGUGUUCGCGUGCUCAGGCAGCGCGGUCAGUCUUCGGUCGUGUUGUUUGGUGGGGGUUUGCUGUGCGGCAUUGUCGGAGCUUUGGGAUCUGUUGUUUCGCUUUAGUUUUCCCAUAUGGGGGCUUUUUGUUAGGUUCAGUACGGGUGCCCUGUUUGUUCUAUGUUGGUGGGAUGUGAUGCUGGCCCCCCCUGAGCAGCGGUGUCUGUGUUAGCUGUUGCGCCAUCGCCUCACUCAAGGUGACGAGUCAUAACGUCGUGUAUCUUGUCUACAGCGUUUAUCAGGCAGGAAAGCUGGGUCGGCAAGAAUAUGUGGGUCGCUGGUAUAUAUUACCGCCAUGUCACGGAUAGGUGCGCCCAUCCCGCUGACGAAUUCGCUGGUCCAAUGGUGAUACGGAUGUCUUAGGAGGCGAGGCUUGUUAGCCGCAAAUACCAACACCAGGGGGAUUGUGUUGUUGUUUUUUGCCCGUUCUCUUCGUCUUUUCGCACUGGUCACGAAUGGCUAUGGUACGUCUUGUCUAACCUCCAACCUUUGUUUCAAGAAGCUGCGACAUCAGUUGUCGAGUCUAUCAGCUUCGUUGUGCAUCUUUUCGGGUGAGUUUUCGUAUUUGGACGCCGCCGAAGGUGUCUGUUAAUGCAGUCGGGGCAAUGCUCUGGCAGCAUAUUCAGGUUUCACGUUUUAGUGGGGGAUUGCUGAGAAACGCUCAAGCAUCCAAUGUGUGUGUGUGUGUGUGUUCAAGUGGAUUUCAUGAGGGCAGGGAACACAGAGUAGGACACUGAUUACGUGUUGUUGUUGCUUUGAUGUUGUCAAGGAAACAAAGUGCACAAAAGGGUUGCCACUGUUUGCACGCGAUUUGGUUUUCUGGGAAGCUGUAGUGGUUGGCCGCUACGCUUUUCAACCCUUAGCAAGCGAAAAGGCAAAUAUGAUGUCUUCAUUACGCUUCAGUACCCAGGUUUGCGUGCGAUAAGUAUAGGCGGCUUUGUUGGUGUGGGCGCUGUCUUCUAGAUGCACCUUCUUUGUGAUUUUCUUCUUUUUGCUCCGGGCUUCACAAUAUUCUUUGUGCCAUGUUUGAAACCUGUGGCGCAG
rnacentral:misc_RNA from 1 species